GCAGCCCGGGGGCGGGGCCAUGGGGGCGGGGCCAGACGGGACGACUGCGUGCGACUGGUAGGAAACGGUAGUUGCCAGGAGCAACGUCAAACACUCCAGCCAACGGCGAGGCUGUAGGCUCUCCAUCCAGAAUGCAAGCUCCGUGCAAGGGCAACUUCAUCUUGUUCAUUGCUGUACCCCAGCACCUGGACACAGCUCUUGUCCACAGUGGGAGCUCCAGUGACAUUUAUUGAACUAUCAAAUGAGGAUCUCCUUUGCAGAGAGAAGGCAAAUGCAACCUUAGUAUAAUGAGGAAUAGAAGAGAACAGCAUACCUCGAGAAAAGAGCAAAGAGAGGCAUCAAGAGCACCAAGAGAGGGAAGACUUGGAAGAAAAGUAAUUUGAAAUGUUUUAGUGAAGCUGGAUAUGCGACCUCUUGUAGUCAUGGAACAUUAUGGCUGAUGCUGCAGAUGCGAUGUGCAAACAUGCAUGUGCUUGAUGGCAAGGCAUUAGAGCCAAAAAGGCUACAUCUGUCACAUUUGUUUGAAGCCAGUCCAAGUAGGCUGAACAUGCAUUUGGAGAGCUCUGAGGGGAUUUUCUAUCUUGUAUGUGCUGUCAAAGGCAAUAGGGGAAAAUGUGUUUAAAAUGUGUUAAACAGCCAGAUUCAUGCAUAUGUUAGGUUACACGCACAGUUUCUCAGGCUCAGUACUGUUGACACAUUGGGGCAGACAGUUGUUUGUUGGGGAGGGGCUUCCUUGUACACAGCAGGAUGACUAGCAGAAUCUUUGGCCACCACAUGACAGCGCCUUACAGUUAUGACAACCAAAAACAUCUGCAGGCUUGGCCAAAUGUCCCCUGGGGUUCUGGAGGCAAAGUCACCCCUCGUCAGGAACGACUGAGUUUAUGUAAUGCUUGUCCACUUUCCAUCCUUUUGCAACUCCCCAUACAUCCCUAAGGCAUGCGUGCAUGUACACACACACACACACAGACACAGAGUACGGUAAUCUCUCAGCCCCCCUCAAAGGAUGAUUUA